rnacentral:sRNA from 1 species
UGUAAACCUACGUAAAGGGAAGGCUGA